AGUGAACGCUGGCGGUAGGCCUAACACAUGCAAGUCGAACGGCAGCACAGGAGAGCUUGCUCUCUGGGUGGCGAGUGGCGGACGGGUGAGGAAUACAUCGGAAUCUACUCUGUCGUGGGGGAUAACGUAGGGAAACUUACGCUAAUACCGCAUACGACCUACGGGUGAAAGCAGGGGACCUUCGGGCCUUGCGCGAUUGAAUGAGCCGAUGGCGGAUUAGCUAGUUGGCGGGGUAAAGGCCCACCAAGGCGACGAUCCGUAGCUGGUCUGGGAGGAUGAUCAGCCACACGGGACCUGAGACACGGUCCAGACGCCUACGGGAGGCAGGAGUGGGGAAUAUUGGACAAUGGGCGCAAGCCUGAUCCAGCCAUACCGCGUGGGUGAAGAAGGCCUUCGGGUUGUAAAGCCCUUUUGUUGGGAAAGAAAUCCAGCUGGCUAAUACCCGGUUGGGAUGACGGUACCCAAGGAAUAAGCACCGGCUAACUUCGUGCCAGCAGCCGCAGUAA
rnacentral:rRNA from 1 species